rnacentral:rRNA from 1 species
GAUGAACGCUGGCGGCGUGCUUAACACAUGCAAGUCGAACGAUGAAGCCCAGCUUGCUGGGUGGAUUAGUGGCGAACGGGUGAGUAACACGCGAGUAACCUGCCCUUAACUCUGGGAUAAGCCUGGGAAACUGGGUCUAAUACCGGCUAGGAGCGUCCACCGCAUGGUGGGUGUUGGUAUGAUUUAUCGGUUUUGGAUGGACUCGCGGCCUAUCACCUUGUUGGUGAGGUCAUGGAUCACCAAGGCGACGACGGGUAGCCGUCCUGAGAGGGUGACCGGCCACACUGGGACUGAGACACGGCCCAGACACAUGCGGGAGGCAGCGAUGAGGGAUAGUGCACGAAGGGCGGAAGCCGGAUGCAGCGACGCCGCGUGCAGGAUGACGGCCUGCAGGGUGUAAACCUCUUUCAGUAGGGAAGAAGCGAAAGUGACGGUACCUGCAGAGAAAGCACCGGCUAACUACGUG